GGUAAUGUGGCUCAGUGGUACAGUACUUGCCUUGAACGCAAGAGGCCCUGGGUUCAAUCCCAGCAAUACCA
rfam:Ictidomys tridecemlineatus contig003172, whole genome shotgun sequence.